GUUUUAACAUAAACACACAAACAUCCAAUUACAAUGAAUCGCCUCCAAAAGUCUGAACCCGAGAUUAUAGGCACAUUCAUGAGUGCAUUAUGAAGAACAUGUAAUAAUACUUUGGAAAAAUUAUCUCCUAAAAUAUGUUCAUUAACAAUGAUGUUACAAUAAACCAGGAUUGUACUUCCUUUCCCAGACACCCUUGGUAGUGGUGCUUGUGAAGAGAAAGGCUGCAGAAUCAGGUGGUUUGACAGAACAGAAGUAAAGAGUGUGGACAAUCCACCACUGAACAGUCACAAACAGACCUGUAAAAAGGAUCGUUUCAGUCAAGAUUAACCACUUACUAGAAGUUUUGUGAUAAUAUCCUCUUCAAGAUCUUCUUGCACUGGACAGAUUGUGUGAAUAAAAGGUAAAAAGGUUUCUGCAUAGUCAAACAGAUACAAAUAGAGCAUACUGAGUCUUGGCGAACUCUUCAGGGCAUACAGCAGGAACAGUGACUUGCCUGGGUUCACUGCCUGAAAAACAUGAAAAGAUGGAAAUUCCUUUCAAAACUCAGCUUCAUUCACAUUUACAUUUUCUACCCCUAAACUGGCUUUAACAUAAUUUACGAUGUUGCCUUGUCUUUUUUUUUUUUGUGGAUACAAAUGCACAUAGUAAGUGCUCAAUAAAUACCCGAUUGAUGUAUGCAUUGGGAA